GGGGAUUUAGCUCAGUGGUAGAGCACCUGCCUAGCAAGCACAAGGCCCUGGGUUCGGUCCUCAGCUCCG
rnacentral:tRNA from 1 species